rnacentral:rRNA from 1 species
GAUGAACGCUGGCGGCGUGCCUAAUACAUGCAAGUCGAGCGAACGGACGAGAAGCUUGCUUUUCUGAUGUUAGCGGCGGACGUGUGAGUAACACGUGUAUAACCUACCUAUAAUACUUGGAUCACUUCGGGAAACCGGAGCUAAUACCGGAUAAUAUUUUGAACCGCAUGGUUCAAAAGUGAAAGACGGUCUUUCUGUCACUUAUAGAUGGAUCCGCGCUGCAUUAGCUAGUUGGUAAGGUAACGGCUUACCAAGGCAACGAUGCAUAGCCGACCUGAGAGGGUGAUCGGCGACACGGGAAGUGAGACACGGACAAGAGGCCUACGGGAGGCAGCAGUAGGGAAUGGUACGCAAUGGGCGAAAGCAUGACGGAGCAAAGGCGAGUGAGAGAUGAAGGUCUUCGGAUCGUAAAACUCUGUUAGUAGGGAAGAACAUAUGUGUAAGAAAAUGAGGACAGAAUGACGGUAACGAAAAAGAAAGCAACGGCUAACUACGUG